UUUAAAAAAAAAAAAAAAUCUCUUUCUAAAUGCUACACUAUGCAACUAGAAUUGAUUUACAAAAGAAAUCCUAUGUAAGUAGCAUCAAGAUAGCAAAGGACAGUAGCAACAAACCUAACAUGUAUUGGAUGACAAAAUAAGCAUUAUAUCUCUCGAGAUGCACUAGAAAAAAACAACAUAAGCAACCUCUUUGCUUACCUUAGAAGAAGGGACAUUAAACCA
rnacentral:misc_RNA from 1 species